GAUGAACGCUGGCGGCGUGCUUAACACAUGCAAGUCGAACGAUGAAGCCCAGCUUGCUGGGUGGAUUAGUGGCGAACGGGUGAGUAACACGUGAGUAACCUGCCCUUAACUCUGGGAUAAGCCUGGGAAACUGGGUCUAAUACCGGAUAGGAGCGUCCACCGCAUGGUGGGUGUUGGAAAGAUUUAUCGGUUUUGGAUGGACUCGCGGCCUAUCAGCUUGUUGGUGAGGUAAUGGCUCACCAAGGCGACGACGGGUAGCCGGCCUGAGAGGGUGACCGGCCACACUGGGACUGAGACACGGCCCAGACUCCUACGGGAGGCAGCAGUGGGGAAUAUUGCACAAUGGGCGCAAGCCUGAUGCAGCGACGCCGCGUGAGGGAUGACGGCCUUCGGGUUGUAAACCUCUUUCAGUAGUGAAGAAGCGAAAGUGACGGUACCUGCAGAAGAAGCACCGGCUAACUACGUG
rnacentral:rRNA from 1 species